rnacentral:tRNA from 1 species
GGGUGUGUAGCAAUUAGUUUUGUGGUAGAUUUUGCAAAGAUCUAUGUGGUAGUUUUAUAAUACCCACAUCUU